rnacentral:ncRNA from 1 species
GAUAAUUGGUUUUUGCGGCUGUCUGAUCAGGCAUUGCCGCGAAGCUACCAUCCGCUGGAUUAUGGCUGAACGCCUCUAAGUCAGAAUCCAUGCUAGAACGCGGUGAUUUCUUUGCUCCACACAAUAUAGAUGGAUACGAAUAAGGCGUCCUUGUGGCGUCGCUGAACCAUAGCAGGCUAGCAACGGUGCACUUGGCGGAAAGGCCUUGGGUGCUUGCUGGCGAAUUGCAAUGUCAUUUUGCGUGGGGAUAAAUCAUUUGUAUACGACUUAGAUGUACAACGGGGUAUUGUAAGCAGUAGAGUAGCCUUGUUGUUACGAUCUGCUGA